rnacentral:lncRNA from 1 species
AAAGAAGAAAACAUGGCAGAAAGAAAAAUCUCAGAGUCUAAAAGAAUGGGACUUGAUCCUCUUGACACCAUUUGGAAGAUCAUGUUUAGAAGAACUACAAAAACUAUGCUGGGCUUGUACAUGUCUCAGGACAUAAAUAUGGUUUUCAUAAAGCCCAGAUUGUAUUCCAAAAUAGCCCAUAAGUCCAACAACAGGUGUUAUAUAUUGUACCCUUUUUAAGCACUUUACUUUGAAGAGGGAUACAAAUGAGAGCUUCUGAUGAGAUGACUAGGGAUCUACUGGGCCAGCAUGUCUUGAAGAUGGAGCUUGCUCAUGUGAAUGGCUCAGCAGAUGCAGUGAACUCACAUCCCACUGGAGGCCAUCGCAUGGAGGGGGGGUAGCUGUGCCAAUGUUCAUGUGAAGAGGACACUGGGAAUUGAAGGAGGUGUGUAUAUUCUCUGCCAGCAUGGAGAGCAGAAAUUCAGAUAUGUACUUCCUCCAGCUCCCUCAAUGGUUUAUAUUCCGCAUCCUUAGUGUCUUGCAGGUAGUGACCACUCAAAAAAUGUUUGGUAAAAAACAAGUGUUCUUGAAGGUUAACUUUUAAAGUCCUUAUUUCAUACCUUA